UACGGGGGGGGCAAGCGUUGUUCGGAAUUACUGGGCGUAAAGGGCUCGUAGGCGGCCAACUAAGUCAGACGUGAAAUCCCUCGGCUUAACCGGGGAACUGCGUCUGAUACUGGAUGGCUUGAGAUUGGGAGAGGGAUGCGGAAUUCCAGGUGUAGCGGUGAAAUGCGUAGAGAUGUGGAGGAACACCGAUGGCGAAGGCAGCCCCCUGGGUCAACACUGACGCUCAUGCACGAAAGUGUGGGGAUCAAACAGG
rnacentral:rRNA from 1 species